CUCUGAGGAAACUAGUUCGUGGUAUCCACAUACCAGAAGGAUGGGAACUGGACAUGAGGAUUAACCUUCAUUGACUGUCUACUACAUGCACAGUUACCAUACCAAAGAAUUUAUGUAUCAUCCCUUUUAAUUUUCUUAAACCUCUGACUUUCAUUAGAGGCUCAGGGAAGUAGUCACUGACUUGAGUUCUUGUGGAUUUUUAAGUGAUGGAACUGCCUAACCCACAGGCUUUCUACCAGAAAACUGUGUGUUGUUUCUGGUUUGUUUCUACCAGAAAACUGUGUGUUGUUUGGACUUGGACUUUUAGCCUAACUCUCUAGCCCUAGAUGGUUCACUUUGUUGUUCUUUAGUAAAUUCUCCUGAGGCAGCAAGGAUUGGGGAGGGGUGGAGUGGUGUUGGGGUCAGAGAUUGGAACCACUUUCCCAGCAUCCUCUUUCUCUUUUUCAUUCUUGUCUUUAUAAAUUAAUAAUUUAUUUUGGUACACAUGUGCGUUAUACCCAGUUGAAAAGGUAUCAAAGGAGUUUAAGGAAUAUUUGAAAAGUUAAUUCUUCUCCCUGACCAUCAGUCAUUGAAUUCUUUUUCCUGGAGAGAGCCAUUAUUGUCAGUUUAUUGUUGCUCCUACCAGAAAUAGUCUGUUAACAUGAGGUGCGUGCGUUGUCUGUAAAGCAAAUGUUACAUGCCAUACACGAAUGUUCUGUACCUUUGUGUUCAUCAGUGGUAUAUCUUCCAUAUUAGAGCAUAGAGAACAGCCUCUUUUUUUGCAUGUAACAACUUUUUUAGUCUACAUGCAAAAUUGUGCAGCCAUCACCAGCCACCUUAUUUUAGAACAUGUUCAUCAUCCUCAAGAGUAAUUCUGAAUACUUGAGUAGUUACUUCCAUUUCUUCAAAUCCCCUCAACCAUAAGCAGCUACUAACCUACUUUCUCUCUCUUCUAGGGAUUACAUAUAAAUGGAAUCAUGCAAUAUAAUCUUUUAUGACUGGUUUCUUUCAUUAACCAUAAUCUUUUCAAGGAUCAUCCAUAUUGUAUCAUCUAUCAGUACUUCCAUUACUUUUUAUUGCU
rnacentral:lncRNA from 1 species